rnacentral:rRNA from 1 species
ACCAGGUUUCCGUAGGUGAACCUGCGGAAGGAUCAUUA